rnacentral:rRNA from 1 species
AGUGAACGCUGGCGGUAGGCCUAACACAUGCAAGUCGAACGGCAGCACAGUAAGAGCCUGCUCUUACGGGUGGCGAGUGGCGGACGGGUGAGGAAUACAUCGGAAUCUACUUUUUCGUGGGGGAUAACGUAGGGAAACUUACGCUAAUACCGCAUACGACCUACGGGUGAAAGCAGGGGAUCUUCGGACCUUGCGCGAUUGAAUGAGCCGAUGUCGGAUUAGCUAGUUGGCGGGGUAAAGGCCCACCAAGGCGACGAUCCGUAGCUGGUCUGAGAGGAUGAUCAGCCACACUGGAACUGAGACGCGGUCCAGACUCCUACGGGAGGCAGCAGUGGGGAAUAUUGGACAAAGGGCGCAAGCCUGAUCCAGCCAUACCGCGUGGGUGAAGAAGGCCUUCGGGUUGUAAAGCCCUUUUGUUGGGAAAGAAAAGCAGCAGGUUAAUACCCCGCUGUUCUGACGGUACCCAAAGAAUAAGCACCGGCUAACUUCGUG